rnacentral:rRNA from 1 species
UACGUAGGGGGCAAGCGUUGUCCGGAAUUAUUGGGCGUAAAGAGCGUGUAGGCGGUCCGGUAAGUCGGCUGUGAAAGUUCAGGGCUCAACCCUGGGAUGCCGGUCGAUACUGCCGGACUAGAGUUCGGAAGAGGCGAGUGGAAUUCCCGGUGUAGCGGUGAAAUGCGCAGAUAUCGGGAGGAACACCUAUGGCGAAGGCAGCUCGCUGGGACGUUACUGACGCUGAGACGCGAAAGCGUGGGGAGCAAACAGG